rnacentral:rRNA from 1 species
AUUGAACGCUGGCGGCAGGCCUAACACAUGCAAGUCGAACGAGUGGCGGACGGGUGAGUAAUGUCUGGGAAACUGCCUGAUGGAGGGGGAUAACUACUGGAAACGGUAGCUAAUACCGCAUACCAGCAGAUAUGCCCAGAUGGGAUUAGAUGGUUGGUGGGGUAACGGCUCACCACGGCGACGCUCCCCAGCUGGUCUGAGAGGAGGACCAGCCACACUGGAACUGAGACACGGGCCAUAUGCCUACGGGAGGCAGCAGUGGGGAAUAUUGCACAAUGGGCGCAAGCCUGAUGCAGCCAUGCCGCGUGUAUGAAGAAGGCCUUCGGGUUGUAAAGUACUUUCAGCGGGGAGGCGUUACCCGCAGAAGAAGCACCGGCUAACUCCGGGCCAGCAGCCGCGGUAAUUC